CCUGCAAUAAUGAAGAGCUAUUGAGACGUCUUCUGCCAGCAUGUUUGAAGACAGGCAGAUCACUCUGUGAAGCAAAAAAAAGCUUAGCCUUCAUUAAAUAGGGAUUGAAGGCCACCCACCUAUGCACCUGGGGGCUGAUGGAGCUGGGUGAUAUAGGUGAGCUGAAGUGAUGGGACUGGAGGCCCUUUCUGCCCCAUCUGACAUAAACCACACUCUGGACAGUCCGGCGGACCACAGAGGACCCUGAUUUAUAGUCGGGCGAAAGCCAGGACAGCCGUGGUGAUCUUUCAAUAAAACAUCAAAAAAAGCUCUGACCCAUCCAUUACCCACAAGCCCUUGUGGAACAGGCAGGUCAGGUGUUGUUGCCACCCCUCACGUCGCAAUCUCACGCUGAAGUACCAUGGGAAAAGCCAGGAGGACUGCGUGUACUGUUGAAUUACAGCACAGUGAAAAAGACAGAGAGCGAGAGGUGUAAACUGCUAUUAUACGGUGCAACUGGACACUGAAGCUAUUCUACACAUUUCAAGUUGUCUUAAUUUAUAAUUUACUGUGCAGAAAGGGUAAAGGGGACCGUAAAUCUGCAAAACAAGAAACCCCAGAAAAAAGGUGGAUGUAUAAUUAAUGGCUGACAUUAAGGACUGACAAUCUGAAGAGAUGUGAUGAGACAGCGGGGUGUCUCUGGUGCCCGGGCCGAGCUGAGCAUCACACCCUCGGGCGAAGCCACAGGCGCUAUGCUGCUGUCCAUAUGGACCGGGCGCGCGCAAGGCUCAUCCGCGCACAAGUGCACGCGCGACUGAAAGGAGACACUUUGGAAACGCGCGGUCACGUAUUGGACCGCGCACUUCUGUAAUUAAUGACAUAUAUUAGCUGUCUGUUUAUUUCG